UCACCAGACUCCUACGGGAGGCAGCAGUGGGGAAUAUUGCGCAAUGGGGGAAACCCUGAUGCAGCGACGCCGCGUGAAGGACGAAGUAUUUCGGUACGUAAACUUCUAUCAGCAGGGAAGAAAAUGACGGUACCUGACCAAGAAGCCCCGGCUAACUACGUGCCAGCAGCCGCGGUAAUACGUAGGGGGCAAGCGUUAUCCGGAUUUACUGGGUGUAAAGGGAGCGUAGACGGCGGUGCAAGCCAGAUGUGAAAGCCCGGGGCUCAACCCCGGGACUGCAUUUGGAACUGUGCUGCUAGAGUGUCGGAGAGGCAGGCGGAAUUCCUAGUGUAGCGGUGAAAUGCGUAGAUAUUAGGAGGAACACCAGUGGCGAAGGCGGCCUGCUGGACGAUGACUGACGUUGAGGCUCGAAAGCGUGGGGAGCAAACAGGAUUAGAUACCCGCGUAG
rnacentral:rRNA from 1 species